UAACGACCGCUGAUAACAAAGAGAAACAUCUUGACUGACUAGAUAGUAAGAUUAUCUGUAAUUAGUAUUCUGUCUUAUUCGCAUUUCGCAUUGAUUUUUUCAUUUUUGGACGUUACAAUUAUAAUUUUUUUCAACGUAAUGUAAUAACUAAUAAUCAACAACAAGAGCAUAAUUGAAUAUAUAUUUUUUAUGAUAUAAUGGUUUACAGAUCUGUCCUAACACUCCCACACCCCAAAUCAAUUUGAAAUUGGAUAUUAUCUUUCAAUGGUGAACCCGGAUUACUAUACAAUUUGUUUAACUUUUGAUGCAAUGUCAUCUGUAUUGUUUUCUUGGAAAUGAUUUGCAACUUGAAGUACUUUAAUCAGACAGAAGCAACUGAGGCGUUAAUGUUCAAUGUCCAUGCUAAUUAAUUUAAAAUGUUUAAAUAGCAAAUGGAAACUUCCAAUUGGUUAUUUUUGCCAAAAUUUUAGUCUUGGCUCAAUGGAAAGAAACAUAGCGAUAUGACAAGAAGUUGCUCCCUAGUCCCCUACGCAUGCCGCAGUGGUCUUACAACUCAAGAUUGGGACUAGGUCCUUUUUCCUACGGGGAAUUAAAAUAGUCCACAAAACAACUCGUGCCGGACUAGGUGGUGGAUCAAUAUAAGUUUGUGUUGGGCAGUUUAUGCAGCAGAGAGAAACUUCGAAACAUACAUAAUUUAUAAUUAUUAUAGUAUUAGAUCGCGAUGUUCGGAUGUUAUACAGCUUCAAAAUAUGAAGGAUAUUGAAUAUUAUAGGUAUAAUUUAUUUAUAUGUAUGUCUAUGGACGUCACACCUGCAGCAUGCGUACGACAUAGACAAAACGCGUUUUUGCAGUGUGUGUAGAGCUUGCUCAAUUUUGUUUGUUGAGUAAAAAUAACUAUUAUAAAAUUGAAUUGUGACAAUAUUUCUGAGGGAAAAUGGUUGUUUUUUCAUUAUACCCAAUAUAACGUUCAUUAUAUCGUUUAGAAAUUUAACUUUUUUUUAAAGACCUUUAACUUUUCAACAUUUAAAUUUUUUAAAAAAAAAAACGCAAUGACUUGCCCUCAGAAAUAUUAUCACAAUAAAUUCAAUUUUAUAAUAGUUAUUACGCGUUUUGUCUUGUAAGUGUGUAAGACGCGGAGACAACACGUGCGGGUGUAACGUCAUCUUAAUGAAUGAAUUUUUCCAUUAUAUAUCUAUAUAGAACAGAAAAUAAUGAAGUUAAAAUAUGUAUAAUAUAAUGAUGAAAUGUAUGAUAUUCUUAAUAAGUCACAUAAAUAAACAGGAUAUGGACGCAUCACGGUGACAUGGUAGAGUAGCAUAAACUACAUAAAAUUAUUUAUAAUUUAAAAAAUAAUUACGUUCAAAUAUAUAUAUAUAUAUCA